UACGUAGGGAGCAAGCGUUGUCCGGAUUUACUGGGCGUAAAGAGCGCGCAGGCGGUCGAUUAAGUCGAGUGUGAAAGCCCCCGGCUCAACUGGGGAGGGUCACUUGAUACUGGUCGACUCGAAGGCAGGAGAGGGAAGUGGAAUUCCCGGUGUAGUGGUGAAAUGCGUAGAUAUCGGGAGGAACACCAGUGGCGAAGGCGACUUCCUGGCCUGUUCUUGACGCUGAGGCGCGAAAGCUAGGGGAGCAAACGGG
rnacentral:rRNA from 1 species